UCAUGCACGAGUGUGCAUGCGCUGUGUGCAUCUCUGCAGCUGUGAUCCCACACGUGUGUGCACAGCCCAUGGGCAGCAAUGCAGAACGUGGGAGCUGUGCUUAGCUGGAUUUUCGUGUGGAGCACCACAGCUCCUGGGUCCCCUGCAGCCGCUCUGGCAUUUCUGGGAGUGAAGAAAGGAGGACACGGAGCUGCCAAGCCCUGUUCCUGUCUGGUGUGGUGCAGGGUCCUGGGCUGUGUUGCCUUGUGUCCCCAGAGCCCUGGAAGGAGAGUGUCACUGUGACUUUCAGUGAGGGGUCUUGAGCUCAGGGAUGUGCUUGAAGAUUGGCGGUAUGAGCUGGUCAGUUUUGAGAGGGAGAUUUAACCUGAGGGCCUCACUGGGUGCUGCUGAGGUUUCCCAGAGGUCUCAGUGGGGAGCUGUGGGCCAGCUGCAGCCUCCUCUGAGGGCAGACCCUCAUCAGUGUGGGAUGGAGUUCUGUCUUGGCACAGGGCCUACCUGUCUCAGGAUGGCUCCUGGACAGCAUCAGGCCUGUGGCCGGCAGCCUGUCCUCCCUGGACUGGGCCUCCCUGAAAAGCCCCUUCCUCCGCGCAGGGCCAACUUCCUGAGACCCUGCACAGAAGAGCUGGGGACGAACAGACACAUGGGGACUGAGGUCCUGGGCUAGUGAGUGGGGAGCCUCUGGCCACAAGGCUACCUACCCUCUGGGGCAGGACAGAAGGGCUGAGCACCUUGCCUGGAGAGGUCCACCAAGAUUGGCCCCACCAAGCUGUUACUGAACCCCCAAGCCCGGCUCCUCCUCUGUGAAUGGGGACUGCUGAGGGGCACCACCCAGGGCCCAGCACUCAAGGAGGCGCUCCAUCUCGGACGCAGGUGCUGCCCCAGAGCUGCUUCAAGGCAAGGGAUGGUGUAGGGAAGCACAGGCUUACUUACACAGGAGUGCUACUGCAGAGUCCUUGCUGCAGUCUGCUCCUCGGGUAUGCGCCCCUCCCCCUCCCCUC
rnacentral:lncRNA from 1 species